rnacentral:rRNA from 1 species
UCUGGCUCAGAACGAACGCUGGCGGCGUGGAUAAGACAUGCAAGUCGUGCGACAGACCAGGAAUUGAUUACUUCGGUUUGAUUUUCCUGACGAUGAGCGGCGAACGGGUGCGUAACACGUGAGAAACCUGCCUUGAAGUUCGGGAUAGCUCGGCGAAAGUCGAAUUAAUACCGGAUGUGGCCUUGGGAUAGCAUUUUCCCUUGGUUAAAGCUCGGUCACAGAGCGCUUUUAGAUGGUCUCGCGGUCUAUCAGCUUGUUGGUGAGGUAACGGCUCACCAAGGCUACGACGGAUAACUGAUCUGAGAGGAUGAUCAGUCACACUGGAACUGAGACACGGUCCAGACACCUACGGGUGGCAGCAGUCGAGAAUCAUUCACAAUGGGCGCAAGCCUGAUGGUGCGACGCCGCGUGGGGGAUGAAGGGCUUCGGUCUGUAAACCCCUGUCAUCUGUGAGUAAGGUCUCGUAUAAAAGCUACGAGGAUUGAUAUUAGCAGAAGAGGAAGGGACGGCUAACUCUGUGCCAGCAGCCGCGGUAAUACAGAGGUCCCAAGCGUUGUUCGGAUUUACUGGGCGUAAAGGGUGCGUAGGCGGUUAGAAAAGUUUGGUGUGAAAUCUUCGGGCUCAACCCGGAAACUGCACUGAAAACUAUUUAACUCGAGGAUCGGAGAGGAGAUUGGAAUUCUCAGUGUAGCAGUGAAAUGCGUAGAUAUUGAGAGGAACACCAGUUGCGAAGGCGGAUCUCUGGACGAUUCCUGACGCUGAGGCACGAAAGCUGGGGGAGCGAAGAGGAUUAGAUACCCUCGUAGUCCCAGCCGUAAACGGUGCGCACUUGCUGUGGGCGGAUUCGACCCCGUCCGUGGCGAAGCUAACGCGUUAAGUGCGCCGCCUGGGGAGUACGGUCGCAAGAUUAAAACUCAAAGAAAUUGAC